rnacentral:rRNA from 1 species
UACGAAGGGGGCUAGCGUUGUUCGGAAUCACUGGGCGUAAAGGGCACGUAGGCGGACUUUCAAGUCAGGGGUGAAAUCCCGGGGCUCAACCUCGGAAUUGCCUUUGAUACUGUAGGUCUCGAGUCCGGAAGAGGUGGGUGGAAUUCCUAGUGUAGAGGUGAAAUUCGUAGAUAUUAGGAAGAACACCGGUGGCGAAGGCGGCCCACUGGUCCGGUACUGACGCUGAGGUGCGAAAGCGUGGGGAGCAAACAGG